rnacentral:rRNA from 1 species
UAUCGUUUAUUUGAUAGUACCAUACUACUUGGAUAACCGUGGUAAUUCUAGAGCUAAUACAUGCUAAAAACCUCUUCGGAAGAGGUGUGUUUAUUAGAUUAAAGACCAAUGCCCUCCGGGGCUCACUGGUGAUUCAUAAUAACCUCUCGAAUCGCACGGCCCUGCGCCGGCGAUGGUUCAUUCAAAUUUCUGCCCUAUCAACUUUCGACUUUAGUGUAGUGGACUAAAGUGGUUGCAACGGGUAACGGAGGGUUAGGGCUCGACCCCGGAGAAGGAGCCUGAGAAACGGCUACUACAUCCAAGGAAGGCAGCAGGCGCGCAAAUUACCCAAUCCCGACACGGGGAGGUAGUGACAAUAAAUACUGAUACAGGGCUCUUUCGGGUCUUGUAAUUGGAAUGAGUACAAUUUAAAUCCCUUAACGAGGAACAAUUGGAGGGCAAGUCUGGUGCCAGCAGCCGCGGUAAUUCCAGCUCCAAUAGCGUAUAUUAAAGUUGUUGUGGUUAAAAAGCUCGUAGUUGAACCUGGGCCCCGCGCCCGCCGGUCCGCCUCACCGCGUGCACUGGCGCGGCCGGGGCUUUCACUUGGGGAACCGCAUGCCCUUCGCUGGGCGUGCGCGGAACCAGGACCUUUACUGUGAAAAAAUUAGAGUGUUCAAAGCAGGCCUAUGCUCGAAUACAUUAGCAUGGAAUAAUAGAAUAGGACGCGCGGUUCUAUUUUGUUGGUUAUGGGACCGCCGUAAUGAUUAAUAGGGCCAGUCGGGGGCAUCAGUAUUCAAUAGUCAGAGGUGAAAUUCUUGGAUUUAUUGAAGACUAACUACUGCGAAAGCAUUUGCCAAGGAUGUUUUCAUUAAUCAGGAACGAAAGUUAGGGGAUCGAAGACGAUCAGAUACCGUCGUAGUCUUAACCAUAAACUAUGCCGACUAGGGAUCGGGCGAUGUUACAUUCUGACUCGCUCGGCACCUU